rnacentral:rRNA from 1 species
UACAGAGGUGGCAAGCGUUGUUCGGAAUUACUGGGCGUAAAGGGCGCGUAGGCGGUUCGUUAAGUCCUGUGUGAAAUCCCCCGGCUCAACUGGGGAACUGCACAGGAAACUAGCGGGCUUGAGUUCGGGAGAGGGAAGCGGAAUUCCCAGUGUAGCGGUGAAAUGCGUAGAUAUUGGGAGGAACACCAGUGGCGAAGGCGGCUACCUGGACCGGUUCUGACGCUGAUGCGCGAAAGCGUGGGUAGCAAACAGG